rnacentral:lncRNA from 1 species
CUCCUACACGGGGCAGUGGCAGCCUCCAGCCCUGCAGGAUGUGGCCCGUCGUGGGUCUCAGCCCCAAGCCCUGGCCUUUCCUCCUCUGCACCAUUCACCAUGACAAGGAAUCUGGCCGCCAUGGGCAGUUUCCAUCAGAGCCAGAGUUCAGGUGGAAGGAGUUUCCGGAAGACGUCCCCUCCUCACUCAAUAGAUAUUCACUCAGGUUGACCUCUCCCGAAGAAACAAAGGAGUAAGUGCUAGGAAGAGGGAUUCAGCAGGACAAGGGGAUGCAGGUGUCUGGGGGUGGGUGUGGAGGCUGUUUGAGUUAGGGUGUCAGGGCAUGUGAACAGGGCCCUGAGAAACGGCUGACAGUGAGCCCUGUGGGGACCUGGGGAGGCGUGCUCCUGGCUACAGCAGCCACAGCAUGUGCAAAGGCCCUGAGGCAGGAGUUUGCUUGGUGUGUUGGAGGGGCAGCAAGAGGGUCAGUGUGGCUGGAACAAAGUGACAGUAACCGGGAGCUGGUGAGGUCAGCAGGUGCGGGGCAGGCAGGCCAGGGAGGGCCUCGUGAUGUGGCUGGAGAAGGUGACGUGCUUGCUCCUGUCGUGGGAGCUUAUCUCAGCAAUUCCUGCACUCCCAGCUUGCUGACAUUGGCCCAUGGCAGCUCCAGAGUGGAGGCUCUGCAACGUCUGACAGCUUGGGGGCUAAAAUUAGGUCCCCAAGCUGAGUUAGGGCCAGCAGAAUGCCACUUCGUAUGCUUGGCACUGCGUGGUGAGGGGGAAAUGUUGCAGCUGCCGCUUGUCCAUGUUGCUGUACCUCAGCAACUUCCAGAGUGAAAUUCAGCGUCCUCAGCCUGGAGUUGGAGGCUCUUGGUCUGGGAGAGAACUUUGCAGACCAAGACUCAGCCCAAGGAUGGAGGCAGAAGAGGCGCCAAGUCUGGAACCCACGACCGCCGCGGAGGAGGAGCUAGGCGAUGCUUGGCUGGGCACUGUAUUGCUCUCAUCCCGUUUCCUGUCUGUGAAAUGGGAAUGGCGCUCCUGCUUCUCCAUGGGAUCUUGGGAAAGGAACAUGAGGGCACUUGUGGCAGUGUUUGUGGCAUGCCUGGCCCAGAGAGAAGCUCUAGAAAUGACACCUAUGAUCCCCCAGCUUGGGGGGAUCCCCCGUUAA